GGCAGUAAACCUCUGUUGAAUGUGCAUGACCUUCGAGCUCUCAGAUGGCAUUGCAUGAGAAACCGUCAUACUACUGUGUUAAAAAAAUAGCCACAUGGGCUUGGGAGUAUUUUGGAAAACCGUUGUCACUUAGCACAGUCUUAGCACAUCUCUGUUAUGCAAGGAGAAAACUAUUCAUCAAUUCAGUGCACAGAUGCUGCCAAGUUCCCUGGGCUUGAGCUCAUCUCAGAUGGUCUAAAAGACAGUGGAAAUGUGUGCUGUGGUCAGAUGAGUCCACGUUUUAGCUUGUUUUUGAGAAAUAUGGACAUCAAGUUCUCAGUCCCAAAGACAAAAGGGACCAGCUAGACUUUCAUCAGCAAAAGGUGCGAGAGCAAACAUCUGUCAUGGUAUGGGGAUGCAAAUGGAAUCAGCGCAAACGGAAUGGGUGACUCGCAUAUGUGUGACGUGGAGGCAUUUAUUGGGAAUGGAAAAGGAGAAUCGGACAACGCCGACCACAAACUGUCUUGUAUCAGGCUUGACUUCCAUCAAACAUCAGCAGAUGGUGAGAUUCUCCUGCCAGUAAUUUGCUAAUGGCAAUCAGGCGGAGAUGCAAUAUCCUGACAUGCUAAAGCCCUCUUUGUUCGGAUUACAUCAAACAUUGAGCUUCAAUACAUCUUUCAGCAAUUAGAACCCAACCAUAAGUGCUGGGUGGAAUCAAGUUUUGUAGAACAAAGCGAGGACCCUCCUUCUGUUCCUGGCACUUACAUACGGAAGCCCGGCCAGUCGGUUCCUCUCCACAACUUUCUUCACCUCGUCCAGGCUGCCAUAGUCCCAGCGAGA